GCAGAUUCUUCUGUGAAUCAGAAACCCUGAAGAAAACACUGAAAGACACGUACAUGCAGUCAGUCUGACGUCUGCACCCACUAGUUGUGACUAACCAUGUGUGAAACAGCAGGAAUCUGAGGCCUUACUUCCCUAGCCGGUAGAGUGGGCAGAAUGUCUGAUGGCAAAUAUGAACUAUUUUACAAGUCUGACUUGGUGAGAACUUCCAGGAAGCUACAAUUUUAAUUAAUCUACCUAGAGCUCGAGAUGAGUAAACACAAGAAUUUCAUGUCUUCACCCAUGGGUUGCUUCUGCCGAACUAAUUGCCAAAAUGGAAGAAAGUCCAUUCACAACCUAUCCUCAACCUCUGCGCAAUCCCACAGAAACCACAUGAGAAGCACUUCUUGGGCCAGGCCCGCCCUGCUUCCCCAAGGUUGCAGACCUCCUCCAAGCAAGUCAAAGGAUGGCCAGGGAAUGCCCUGCCUCAUUUCCAGCCUGCUUCUGAAAAUGUGGCAAUUCAGAGCAAGACAGCUGCACUCUCCUGUCCCUCAGACUAAAUCACAGGGACUGCCAUAAAACCCAUACCAAAGGUGAAGAAACUCAGUCCCAGUGCGUAUUUCUGCCUGGGGAAGCUCAUCUGCCCUCUACCUGUCAGCUGUGUCUCCU